UCUUAGCAAUUCUUUCCAGAUACCCUCCCGAUCACAUAGCAACUAAUUGACAACACACAAACACAGUCACACAUAUCGGAAAUUGAAAAAGACAAAUCAAAGCUGCAUAACAAAUCUGCUUCAGUAAUUGAUCAAACUCAAAAACAUUCAACUGAAUACCAUAUGAAUACUCCUGAGGUUGAGGGAGUCACCAAAAAACAAACCCGACUCCAAAUUUACAAGGAAUGACUUCUGACUUACAAGAUACAUAAUCCCAAUCCAACACCUGUCCUCAUAAUCACAGAUAUUAAUAUAUAAGGCCAAGGCCAUAACUUAUCCAUCAAUCAAAACAAUUGAACAAUUCUUUUUAAGCAGUUCAUCAACUGGAAGAAUAUAAAUAUUUUAUCUGAAUUCUCAUUGGUUCACCUAAUAAUAUAGUCAUAUUUCCAUCCCGGUAACCCCAUUAUGCCAUCAACUAUCACAAACCAAAUACCUUAAUUUUUCCCGGGAUACUACGCCCGGCCUGAUCCUAACAUAGCACCAACUUACUCUACUUUGGUUGCACACAAUGGCCUUACUGGAGCCACUGAUCAUAUCCAUCAUCUUCAUAUAGAUCUUCACACACUACCAUGGGUAUGCCUUCCCAUGUUAACUAGUCUCGUGUUUAGAGUCCUCAUAUUCGAUAUCAAACCAAAUUGAAAAAAAAAAAUUAAAAGUUAAAAAAAAAAUACAAUAAUCAAUAAAUCUAACCCAAUCAAUCAGUCCGGGGAUAUUCAUGAAAUUGAAAGUUAUUCAACGACACGACCAAUAUGAAAUCUAACAGUGUCUUAAAGAAUGAUCACUGGUACAACAAUCAAACCACACACGGUCAUUCACGUAAUUUACACAACCAUGAUCAGUUAUAAUUGCCAAAAUCAAACAUACAGUAUGAGACCAAAUUUCAACUCAACAAAAUUCAGCUAAUCAUAUAACUAAUACUCCUUGAUCAUUAUAAUUGAAAAACGAGAUUGGAGAUUCUUAGUCUAAGCGACAAAAUGGGAUCUCUUGAUCACAUACAAUAUACAGUUAAACGUUUAGGAACAUGUGUGAAAGAUGAGAGUGAUUAGAAUUUUACCUGGACUUGGGUUGGUAUACGAGGUAACAUGGUGCGAUGGUAUAGAUAGCAGAGAGCUGUAAUGGGAAAAUUUAGUUGCCCUGUACUGAAUUGGCUCAAAAGUAUAACGCAACUAAAUUGUCCCAUUGCAGCUUUCUGGUAUCUAUCCCAUUGUACCCCAUCACCGCCUAUACUCACCCAAGUCCCGGUACAAUUCUAAUCACUCUCAUCUUUCACAAAUGUUGCUUAACGUUUAACUGUAUCUUGUAUGAUCAAGAAAUCCCAUUUUGUGGCUUAGACUAGGAAUCUCCAAUCUUGUUGUUCAAUUAUGCUAUGAUCAAGGUGUUAGUAUUGGUGUCCUAGAGACAAUACUAUUGUGUUUUAUCGUAGACAUUUAUGGAUUAUGUUUUAUUGAUUAUUGAAUAAAUAUUUAUUAUGUCUUUAUUUACUGCGUAAUAAAUUGAAAGCAUAAUAAAUGUCCUUGGAAUAUUAUAUGUAAUUCUAUAUCUCUAAGUACGUGACUUAGAAAUGAGAUUAUGAGAAUAAUAUCAAUAUUCCUAAAUGUCCCUAGUCGAGUAUUAUUGUUAAGGGACAAUAAUGAUGCAUUAAGACUGGUAUGUUUGUUAACUGAUUAUCACAUCUCAUUGAUCAUAGGUAUAGUGAUGCUAAAGUCAAGAACAUAAGUGCAUGUAUCCACACAUGGCACUGGAAUGACCCACCGUGAGAUUUUACAUGUUAAUAAGUGUCAUUAGAAAUUCUCACUGUGAUGAUGAUGUAAUGAUCCUCUGACUUGAUAUCAUUAUAUUUCUAUAUGAGAAUUAGUAUACUUUGGUUACACUAAAAGUUACCUUUGACCGGGUGAUGAUGAAAUGUACAUUGGGUAUAUUAUGAAUCGUAUGAGAAAUAUGAAUGAUCUAGAAAGGAUUUAACCUGAUGAUGAAAUGUACAUUGGGUAUAUUAUGAAUCGUAUGAGAAAUAUGAAUGAUCUAGAAAGGAUUUAACCCUCCUAUUUUAGGAGUGAUAUUAUUGGCCUCUUGAUUGAGUGAGACUAUAAAAUGCAUGGCCGUGCUCAAAUAUUGAUUUGUUUAAUAGUCUACUCAUUGAUCAAGGAAAUUCGGAUUAGACGAUGAAGAGGAUGACACAAUACAUGCCUUGAGUCUGAUCUAUAAUAUAAGGUUAAAGGGAUUAUAUUACAUUGUACAUUAUUCACAAAAGGUUUAAUUGAAUCACCAAUUAUUAUUAUUACUUGGGUAGCAAUGAUGUAUUACUAGAUGCCGCUCAUUGUUUAUAAUUUUAUUAUUGGAUAUUAAAAUUAUUGCCAACGUAAUAAUAACCUAAAGGGUCACACACUUAGAACGUUUAAAGGUGUUUUAAUUUAAAUUCUGAAUUUAAAUUAAAUGAUUAAGUUCGAAAUAAAUUGUUUAAUUGAGCCGGUCUUAACUAAGUAAUUAGAAUUUCGAAAAACCAAAAUCGGAUUAGGUUUGGAGAAGCCCAAAUCCGAUUAGGGUUUGGCCCAUCUAUCUCUCUUCCCUAUAAAUACAUAAUGAUGUAUUGUUUUAGGGUUAAGUAACAUAAAAUUCGUUUUAUUAUAAAACCCUAGCAGCUCUACAUCAAGAGAGGCUAGAGAGAGAGAGAGAGGCUGCAUUCGGCUAGUACCGGCUCCGGUGAUCUUUGGCGAUCAGACGUUCGUGUGGACUGCUUAGAGACGCGAUCCUUAGACCGAGGGCUGCGUGGUGAUUGCUUGUUCCGGACCUCCAUCUUUCGCUAACGUAAAACUUCAACAAGGUAUUAUUUCGUAUCUCCAUGAUCAGCCAUACUUUAUAGAUGGAUCCUCGGUUAGGGUUUCGGAAAAUUUUGAUUUUACGUCGAUUAUCCGUUGCGUUUGUUGCCCCGAAACCCAACACAAGGUGUAUCAGUCAUAUGAUUUCCUGAAUUUUGUUUGAGUUGAAGUUUGGUUUGAUAAUGUGUAUUUGAUUUCGGCAAUUAUAAUUGAUCAUGGUUGUGCAAUCUCAAUUGCAACUGUAGCAACU
rnacentral:lncRNA from 1 species